rnacentral:rRNA from 1 species
GACGAACCGUGCGAACGUUGUUCGGAAUCACUGGGCUUAAAGGGCGCGUAGGCGGGCUCACAAGUCAGGGGUGAAAUCCCACGGCACAACCGUGGAAGUGCCUUUGAUACUGUGGGUCUUGAGGGAGGUAGGGGCGUGCGGAACUUCCGGUGGAGCGGUGAAAUGCGUAGAUAUCGGAAGGAACACCGGUGGCGAAAGCGGCGCGCUGGACCUCUACUGACGCUGAGGCGCGAAAGCCAGGGGAGCAAACGGG